rnacentral:ribozyme from 1 species
CCCAUUAACGUAAAGAGCCUUGACGUGGCUAAUGGGCUUAGUAGUUAUUCUAAAAGAAUAGCUGCAAAGCCAUUCUUUUAAAAUAAUGAACUAAUACUUUA